rnacentral:rRNA from 1 species
UACGUAGGGUGCAAGCGCUAAUCGGAAUUACUGGGCGUAAAGCGAGCGCAGGCGGUUUUGUAAGUCUGAUGUGAAAUCCCCGGGCUCAACCUGGGAAUUGCAUUGGAGACUGCAAGGCUAGAAUCUGGCAGAGGGGGGUAGAAUUCCACGUGUAGCAGUGAAAUGCGUAGAGAUGUGGAGGAACACCGAUGGCGAAGGCAGCCCCCUGGGUCAAGAUUGACGCUCAUGCACGAAAGCGUGGGGAGCAAACAGG